rnacentral:rRNA from 1 species
GACGAACGCUGGCGGCGUGCCUAAUACAUGCAAGUCGACCUUAGUGGCGAACGGGUGCGUAAAACGUGGGUAACCUGCCCAUCAGAAUGGGAUAACACUUGGAAACAGGUGCUAAUACCGUACACUGAUGGCUGGAUCCGCGGUGCAUUAGCUAGUUGGUGAGGUAACGGCGCAACAAGGCCACGAUGCAUAGCCGACCUGAGAGGUUGAGCGGCCACAUGGGGACUGAGACACGGCCCAGACUCCUACGGGAGGCAGCAGUAGGGAAUCUUCGGCAAUGGGCGAAAGUCUGACCGAGCAACGCCGCGUGAGUGAAGAAGGUUUUCGGAUCGUAAAACUCUGUUGUUAGAGAAGCGGUAUCUAACCAGAAAGCCACGGCUAACUACGUGCCAGCAGCCGCGGUAAUUC